CUCUGAUGUGCCAGACAGUUACACCGUUAACUCACAACAGUGCUGUGAAGUGGGUGACGCACACUGGGAUGGGCCCCCGUUGGCCAGGACGCUGUCUUCCCUGAGUUCUGCCUACUCCCUGCCUAGCAGUUGAAGCCAGGACUUAAGUCAGACACUGCCUAGUGUGAACACUGGUUUGACCCUCAGUGUUUAAAAACAAUCUGACGUGAAAGACCUCAAUGGCGCCCACAGGGGUCUGUGUCAGCACACCUGGACCAGGCCAGAGCAAUGGCCCCCACCAGCGUCUCAGUCUCCGGAGAGGUCCUUCCUCUCACCAGGAUGCCCCCAGAGCCCACCAGCCUUGAACACAGAUGAGAUGCCUGGAACGCUGUCUUGCAACCAUGAGGUGACUUUCUUGAGGGCAAGAGGCCAACAUUCUUACUAGAAUGGUGAAGUGGAAGGUGGAAGGAGCCUAGAUCCUCGAAGACACCAUUGGGCCACCACACCAGUUCCAGAACACCACUUCCCAGCCUCGUGUUAAAUGAGAAAAACAACCUCCGUCUAUUUAAGCCAGAUUUCCUGUGAACUGUGGACGAAAGCAUUUCUCCCUGAUACACCCAUUGCUGUUAAGGGCAAAUGAGUAUAUAUGGGAUUGUGCUUUGGAAGCUGGGAACCAACAGAAACAUUUCAGGUGACAUUUGCUCGUCAAUUAAAUAUGAAAUUAAUUUAAAAAAUAAAUA
rnacentral:lncRNA from 1 species